CCUACGGGUGGCUGCAGUGAGGAAUAUUGGUCCAUGGGCGCGAGCCUGAACCAGCCAAGUCGCGUGAAGGAUGACUGCCCUACGGUUUGUAAACUUCUUUUAUAAAGGAAUAAAGGUAUGCACGUGUGCCUUUUUGCAUUUACUUUAUGUAUCAGGAUCGGCUAACUCCGUGCCAGCAGCCGCGGUAAUACGGAGGAUCCGAUCGUUCUCCGGAUUUAUUGGGUUUAAAGGGUGCGUAGGUGGGUUUUUAAGUCAGUGGUGAAAGUUUGCGGCUCAACCGUAAAAUUGCAAUUGAUACUGGAAGACUUGAGUGCAGUUGAGGUGGGCGGAAUGCGUGGUGUAGCGGGGAAAUGCUUAGAUAUCACGAAGAACUCCGAUUGCGAAGGCAGCUUACUAAGCUGUAACUGACAUUGAUGCUCGAAAGUGUGGGUAUCAAACAGGAUUAGAUACCCCAGUAGUC
rnacentral:rRNA from 1 species